AGAGUUUGAUCCUGGCUCAGGAUGAACGCUAGCGACAGGCUUAACACAUGCAAGUCGAGGGGCAGCAUAAAAGUAGCAAUACUUGGUGGCGACCGGCGCACGGGUGAGUAACGCGUAUGCAACCUACCUAUCAGAGGGGAAUAACCCGGCGAAAGUCGGACUAAUACCGCAUAAAACAGGGACACCGCAUGGUGAUAUUUGUUAAAGAAAUUCGCUGAUAGAUGGGCAUGCGUUCCAUUAGGUAGUUGGUGAGGUAACGGCUCACCAAGCCGACGAUGGAUAGGGGAACUGAGAGGUUGGUCCCCCACACUGGUACUGAGACACGGACCAGACUCCUACGGGAGGCAGCAGUGAGGAAUAUUGGUCAAUGGGCGAGAGCCUGAACCAGCCAAGUCGCGUGAAGGAAGAAGGAUCUAUGGUUCGUAAACUUCUUUUGCAGGGGAAUAAAGUGCAGGACGUGUCCUGUUUUGUAUGUACCCUGAGAAUAAGGAUCGGCUAACUCCGUGCCAGCCGCGGC
rnacentral:rRNA from 1 species